UCGACGAUGACGGAGGAGCUUGCUCCUCCUGAUUAGUGGCGAACGGGUGAGUAAUACGUGAGCAAUGUGCCCUUGACUCUGGGAUAAGCGCUGGAAACGGCGUCUAAUACCGGAUACGACGAUCGGAGGCAUCUCCUGGUCGUGGAAAGAACUUCGGUCAAGGAUCAGCUCACGGCCUAUCAGUUAGUUGGUGAGGUAAUGGCUCACCAAGACGACGACGGGUAGCCGGCCUGAGAGGGUGACCGGCCACACUGGGACUGAGACACGGCCCAGACUCCUACGGGAGGCAGCAGUGGGGAAUAUUGCACAAUGGGCGCAAGCCUGAUGCAGCAACGCCGCGUGAGGGACGAAGGCCUUCGGGUUGUAAACCUCUUUUAGCAGGGAAGAAGCGAAAGUGACGGUACCUGCAGAAAAAGCACCGGCUAACUACGUGCCAGCAGCCGCGGUAAUACGUAGGGUGCAAGCGUUGUCCGGAAUUAUUGGGCGUAAAGAGCUCGUANGCGGUUUGUCACGUCUGCUGUGAAAACCCGAGGCUCAACCUCGGGCUUGCAGUGGGUACGGGCAGACUAGAGUGCGGUAGGGGAGAUUGGAAUUCUGGUGUAGCGGUGGAUGCGCAGAUAUCAGGAGGAACACCGAUGGCGAAGGCAGAUCUCUGGGGCCGUACUG
rnacentral:rRNA from 1 species